rnacentral:rRNA from 1 species
UGAUAGAAAUUUAAACACUUUUUAAAGUAUCAAUUGGAGGGCAAGUCUGGUGCCAGCAGCCGCGGUAAUUCCAGCUCCAAUAGCGUGUAUUAAAAUUGUUGCAGUUAAAAAGCUCGUAGUUGAAUUUCUGUUAAAAAUAACCGGUCUGCUUUUAUUAAAAGUGGUAUCUUGGUGUGUUUUUAGCAAUAAUGUCCUUUGAAAUGUUUUUUACUUUAUUGUAAUAAGUCAUUAUUUUGAGGAUUUUUACUUUGAGAAAAUUAGAGUGUUUCUAGCAGGCUUACGCUUUUGAAUACUGCAGCAUGGAAUAAUAAGAUAGGAUUUUAGUUCUACAUUAUUGGUUUUAAGAACUAAAUUAAUGAUUGAUAGGGAUAGUUGGGGGCAUUUGUAUUUAACUGUCAGAGGUGAAAUUCUUAGAUUUGUUAAAGACAAACUACUGCGAAAGCAUUUGCCAAAGAUGUUUUCAUUAAUCAAGAACGAAAGUUAGGGGAUCGAAG